rnacentral:rRNA from 1 species
GAUGAACGCUGGCGGCGUGCCUAAUACAUGCAAGUCGAGCGAACAGACGAGGAGCUUGCUCCUCUGACGUUAGCGGCGGACGGGUGAGUAACACGUGGAUAGCCUACCUAUAAGACUGGGAUAACUUCGGGAAACCGGAGCUAAUACCGGAUAAUAUAUUGAACCGCAUGGUUCAAUAGUGAAAGACGGUUUUGCUGUCACUUAUAGAUGGAUCCGCGCCGCAUUAGCUAGUUGGUAAGGUAACGGCUUACCAAGGCAACGAUGCGUAGCCGACCUGAGAGGGUGAUCGGCCACACUGGAACUGAGACACGGUCCAGACUCCUACGGGAGGCAGCAGUAGGGAAUCUUCCGCAAAGGGCGAAAGCCUGACGGAGCAACGCCGCGUGAGUGAUGAAGGUCUUCGGAUCGUAAAACUCUGUUAUUAGGGAAGAACAAAUGUGUAAGUAACUAUGCACGUCUUGACGGUACCUAAUCAGAAAGCCACGGCUAACUACGUG